rnacentral:lncRNA from 1 species
AUCUGUCUGUUGGAAGGAUAUGCAAUUGAUGUGCUUAUAAAAGUAUGACAAGGAAUAAAAAUAUGGAUAUGAUGGUCAUCAGGCAUGAGCGUGCUAUCAGAAUGGAGUUGAGGCUGGUGAGAAGGGGCAGAAGAAUCUGCUGACUGGACUGACACAUGCUGAGCGAAAAGCUGACUCUUAACUGCUGAUUUUCUCUGAAGAAACCAGCCUCAGGAAAGACCUAUUCCUCUUAAGAAACUUCCUGGGUCCUUGGCUUUGCCGAGGCCAGCUGAAACUAACACUCGCUGCAGGGUGGCAGGAAUUACUUGGUGCUGUGGCUAGAUAUCUUACCUUAUUCUGUCUCUGAUUUCUUGCUUCACUCCUACAUUUUGUAAUGAAAUUGUAAAUAAAAUCUCUGGAAUUAAUUCCUGGUGACCA